UACGUAGGGGGCGAGCGUUGUCCGGAAUUAUUGGGCGUAAAGAGCGUGUAGGCGGUUCGGUAAGUCUGCCGUGAAACCCUGGGGCUCAACCCCGGGCGUGCGGUGGAUACUGCCGGGCUAGAGGGUGGUAGAGGCGAGUGGAAUUCCCGGUGUAGCGGUGAAAUGCGCAGAUAUCGGGAGGAACACCAGUAGCGAAGGCGGCCGGCUGG
rnacentral:rRNA from 1 species